UGGCGCGUACGAGCCGAAUCGCACGCGUCUGCUUGAGAUAGGAUUUGCGUCUCCAUUCCACGCCUGCCUCAACCCCGGCUGUGGCAGGUGUCGCCUCCUAUGAGCCUCCCGCGUGUCGUUCCAAGUGGGCGACACGAAAAACAGAAGAGAGAGAGCGGGUUGCUUGUGAAGACGGUGGCCACGGUUGGCUUUCAAGGAACAACUUGACUUUAUGCCCUCGGGUGAGAGAACUUUUGCGGAGAACUGCGAUGGUUCACUUGUUCAGUUCGAUAUCUCUCGAGAGAAUUUCGAGGAUGAGUGAUCCUAUAUAUACGACUCAGUUUCCUGCCUUCGAUAGGAAUGAAAUCUUUGCUUGCCUGGGCUCCCGAAUAUCAACUUAAACCCCCGAAUAACAAAACACACACCGUGGGGCAGCUCGCCGUUGAAAACAUCGCACGAAUCACUGACAUGGCUGCGCGCGUGCGGAAAGUUCCCCCAGCAUGCUGCACGUCACAGAGCCAGAAGGGGAGGCGCCACCUAUCGAGUAAUAGAAGGUCACGAACUGCAGAAUGCUGAGCAUUCGGACACUCUCUUUCUGGUCAUCAUAACCCUUCUACACAUUCCAGGUCGUGGGGCGACCUGGAAGCAGCGAAUACGCGUAUUAUGAUCGUCACACCGUUCUUCAAACGUCUGCGUCAUCAACGAACACAAGGAAAUCGCGAUGGCGCCAGUAAGACUUCGGGGAACCUUCUACUGUACAAUGGCAACUAUGUAGAAGUG